UAAAACUGGGGUAUGAAUCCAACUAGUGGUACGUUCGGUAACGAAGCAGUAGUCGAAAGGGCAGUUGUACAACUGUCCCUAUCGUGCCACCGCAAGUGGCCUUUGAACUUCAUACGCAGACCACGCGUGAUUUUCUUGGGAAUCGGUGUGUUUGUGUACUCAAUAACCAUGAUAGCUACCUAGCAAUACUACCACUUACACACUAAUAUUCCUACUAAUAAAUGUAAACUCAGCACUUGAACAGUUGUGGAGAUGCAUAAAACAAAACGAAAACAAAACGAAAACAAAAUGCUUAUUCCUCCUGUUGUUUCUCGCUCAACUUCUGGUUUUUCUUUCAAAGACAAAAUAUUAUUUCCCUCACCCUAAAACAUGCAUCAAUCGAUAAACCCAACUCACAAACGUCUAGAUCAAAUGAAAAAGAAAUGCAAAGGGAUUAAAGCUUGACAUCCGUUCUCUUCAACCAAGAUCAAGACGAUUAAACGAGAAAAGCAAGAAAAAUGGAUCAUUCGAGAUAAAAGGGAAAAAACGGAGAGGGUUUACCCAAUCGGAAGGUCCGCCUGUCCAAGAUCUAGCAUUAUCGCUUGGGUUUUUACGGCGAGUGCUCUAACCGCAACUGAUUGUCCAGAUGAGCUCUGCUGCAAAACUCCAAAGGAAACUUCGACUCAGGGUUUCUGCGUGAGUGUGAAGUCUCGGUUUCAGCAGCGUAACGAUGCAAGGAGGGGAUCCCAUCUCUAUCAUUCGAGACCUCCUUUUAUAGGGCUUUGUACGAGGUUUUAUCGGUUCUCAUCCUUCGUGAGCUGGCGAAAUUUUGGACGAAUCAUUCCGUUAGCUAGGAGGAUCCCUUCCAGGUUUGGUGGUCCUCAAAUAUUGAUGUGGUCCCUGGAAUGAAAGGAUAGGGUUUUGUCUGUAGUGAAGGAGAACUUCCCUCGUGGCACUUGCAAGAAUUUUUUUGAUGAUGCUCUACGUUUGCUUUUCUUGGUCUUCCACAAGUGGUUCAUUAUGACUUGUGCAUCACGCUUUCGGAAUAGCUUGCAAAGUCGUUCAUACUAUGGAAAUAGAGUUCAGUCAUGUGUGUUGCCUACGUUCGGAUUGGAUCCGCUGCAAAUUAUGGUUGGUUUCAUGCUCAUGACUUGUGGUCUUGCGAAAGUUGCGUCUAUCCAGUACAAACUUUCAUCAACCGCAGUUAUUUUCCACACCACAUGUUGAUUGCCUUCUUACCGCACUAACUUGGUAUGUUUUGGUUGCAGUUGUGGUGCUUUUGGCAAAGUGAUAGCUAUCAUAACGUGGAAGUGGGUGAGAGGAAUUUCUGCCCUGCAAGGUUACCUUCUAUGCAUCAAAUCCGUUUCCUUGAGGUAUCAGUCGGUUAAGAUGCGACUAGAUCCUGGGUUUGCAGGUCAUGGCGUGCUUGCUAAAGGGUAACCUGUGGUUGUUAUGCUGUUGGUUUUGGUUCUGCAGCCAAGAUUUCUUGCUGUUUAAAGGGAUAGUUUGAUGACAGUUGAUGUUAGCUAGUGUUGUGGUUUUGCCACAACUUUGGUUGGCAGCUGUAUUGAAGACACAUGUGGUGCAAGUGAGAAAUCUCGACAAGGCUAGUAGCUGGGUUGGACCUUAACAAAAUAACAGAGAUCCUUCUCGUCAACUGAAGGAGUUUCAAUUUCGUUCCUCCUCUUCUGCAUUAAAUUGAACGGCAUCCUCAGUCUAGGUUCAGAAGCUAACCAAACUCACAUAACCUGGUGAACUCAAUCUUCUGGUAGUUUGAAAACAUGGUCACAUUCUUUGUAUGCUCUUCGUGUACAAAAUUCCUGAAAAGAAAUAACUUGCUCUUCAUCUGUUUCAUUCUAAUCAUGUUAUGUCGAAUGCUCUUUUAUACCAGGUGUGGAUUCCUUGCAAUUUGCUCUUAUCAGUGAUUCAACAUGGCUUUGACUCCUAAAUUGAUUAAGGAGAGCUUGGGCCUUUUCUUUAGCGCUCGGUGUGCCUGACUGUGAUAAAGCUACUAAUGGUGGCAUAGUUCCGUGUUGGAGCACCAUGCUUAAGAAUCUAUUACUGUGUAGGCGAAGAUGUAGAAGAGUUGCCGCUGCAUUCUCCUUUCCUCUAGCAGAACCCAACUCAACAACUUCAAUAGAACAGGAAUCAGCGGUUCUAUUGCACCGGCAUUUGUAAUUGUAGUUUUGUUGUUUAUCAUUGAUUGAUAAGUUGAGAAGUGUUGUAACAUCUUUUCCCUGGAUCUGUGUCUCGAUAUCUCGAUACCAGAAAGAUCGGCUCUUGAUUCCACAGCAGAAGAAAAUAUUAUCCUAGGAAUGAGCCCUUUUGAUGGCCUCCUCCAUAUAUCUUGGCUUCGAGACCUAGUCUCCAUAAGUCACCAUCAGUAUCUGACCCGGGAUAUGACUCUCAAGAAGUAUCUCUACUGUAGCCUGGACUUGUUGACAGCCGAGAAGCAUUGUUGUCAUCACCUUGUGUUUCCUGAUUUUGGUUUGUGAUUGGAUUGUGAAUCAUGGUCCUGCUAUGUGUGACAACAACUUGAUUUCUAAUUUUCGGAAUGUAUUUGAACGUUUGCAUGUAAUGUUGCGUAAUGACAUUUUGGAAUUGAAUUGGGUUCAUAACAUUCUUGCUUA